rnacentral:misc_RNA from 1 species
UAUUUUACAGAUGUGAAGAUGUAAUUUCAAUUUCUUUUGAUUUUAGAUCAUCCCUCCUGUCAGCAGCUCUACUUCAGAGUAAAAUCAAGUUUGAAAUUAGUUGAACGUUUUAAGCUACUAGUUUUAUAUCCAUGGCCAAAUUUACAGGAUAAGCCGCAUUCUUCUAUUUUUCAAAUUAGCCUUGUGGAGAUCACUGGCAAAGUCAUGUCAUUUUAUAGUCUGAGACAUCAGAUGCAAUCCAUAAAUCCCCUUUUUUUUUAGUUCUAUUGGAAUUCCCGCCAACUGUUUUUUCCUUUUACCUUAUGAUGCGUCCCACAUCGGUUCUG